rnacentral:tRNA from 1 species
GGGGACGUGGUGAAAUUGGCAGACACGCAGCGUUCAGGGCGCUGUGAGCGCAAGCUCAUGAGAGUUCAAGUCUCUCCGUCCCCA